rnacentral:rRNA from 1 species
GACGAACGCUGGCGGCGUGCUUAACACAUGCAAGUCGAGCGAUGAAGCACCUUCGGGUGUGAAUUAGCGGCGAACGGGUGAGGAACACGUGAGAAAUCUGCCUUCAACUCUGGGAUAACUCCGGGAAACCGGGCUAAUACCGGAUAUGAGCCCUGAUCGCAUGAUCGGGGCUGGAAAGUUUUUCGGUAGAAGAUGACCUCGCGGCCUAUCAGCUUGUUGGUGAGGUAAUGGCUCACCAAGGCGACGACGGGUAGCCGGCCUGAGAGGGCGACCGGCCACACUGGGACUGAGACACGGCCCAGACUCCUACGGGAGGCAGCAGUGGGGAAUAUUGGGCAAUGGAGGAAACUCUGACCCAGCGACGCCGCGUGCGGGAUGAAGGCCUUCGGUUGUAACCGCUUCAGUAGGAAGAAGCGAAAGUGACGGUACCUACAGAAGAAGCACCGGCUAACUAUGUG